GUAGUUGUGGCCGAGUGGUUAAGGUGAUGGGCUAGAAAUCCACUGGGGUCUCCCUAUGCAGGUUCAAAUCCUGCCAACUACG